rnacentral:rRNA from 1 species
AUUGAACGCUGGCGGCAGGCCUAAUACAUGCAAGUCGAACGAGUGGCGGACGGGUGAGUAAUGUCUGGGAAACUGCCCGAUGGAGGGGGAUAACUACUGGAAACGGUAGCUAAUACCGCAUACCAUCGGAUGUGCCCAGAUGGGAUUAGCUAGUGGGGGGGGUAACGGCUCACCUAGGCGACGAUCCCUAGCUGGUCUGAGAGGAUGACGGGCCACACGGGAACUGGGAAACGGCCCAGACUCCAACGGGAGGAGGAGGAGGGGAAUAUUGGAAAAGGAGCGCAGGCCGGAUGCAGCCAUGCCGCGUGUAGGAGGAGGGCCUUCGGGUGGUAAAGUACUUUCAGCGAGGAGGCGGUACUCACAGAAGAAGCACCGGCUAACUCCGUGCCAGCAGCCGCGGUAAUUC